UAAAUUAUAAAUAAUCACAUUGCCACUCACACACUCGCUCCUCAGUCCUCACAGAUCUCUCUAAGCGACGGCGAAGAGGUCCGAACUCUAACGUCGACGACCUUGACCUCUUCGUCCUCAUUCUCCGAUCUCCGUCCCGCAUUCGAUGUCCGCAACACCAACCUCCGCUCCUUCUACACCGAACUCUCCAGCUCAGGCGCCGAUGGGCCUCGGAUUCCGUAUUCGGAUUCUCCGCGCCCACCACCACCUCAACCGGUUCAGAGUCGGAUCUUUAGGGAUGGGGUUGUGAUCUAUCUAUCUUCAUAUUUAGAGGCUCUUGACAGUGAAUUGAAGGCUGCCCUUUUUCCGGUUCGCCAAAUCUGCUUUAUAUAUACCAAACUGUGUGAAGAAGAAUGUCUCAAAUCUGCCUUAGCAUGCUGUUCUGUAAAUUUCAAGGUCAAUAAUGAUGAGAUUAAGUUAUAUUA
rnacentral:lncRNA from 1 species